UGACGUGUACUCAUAAGCGAAUGACGUACUGUAUGCAAUUUCCCGCGAAAUCCGCCCAGACAGCUGUAAUAUAAUUCUAAGAUUGACAAAAAGGUUUAAACGUUCCAUUUUUAGUCUGGUUUGCCUCAGCGGUCAGCAGGGAAUGAAGCCCCAUCUGCUACACAGUGUGUCUUGUGAGGAAACGGGAGAAAGGAGGCUGUUUCUGAGCUCUUUAGUGGCCACUUUGGAGCUCCCUUUAUAUGCAGACAGCUGAUGGGAUCUUUCCUCAGUUUGUGCUUUACUUUCAAUGACUCUCCUCUUGUGAUUGGCAUCUUGUUCACUAUAAUAGUUUGGUUGACUCUCUUAUCUACACAUAAAUGGAUGUUUAGAUCCUACUGCAUCAUAUUUGAUAUCAUUUAGAAAUCAUAUACAUUUGCAUAAGCAUGAUCAAAACUGUUAAUAAAUGCCUUGUGUCAUGUGA